AUGAAAUCCUUGAGUGUUUCACUAGUGGUCCUGUGGCUCCAGCUAAAUGGGGUGAGUAGCCAGCAGAAGGUGCAGCAGAGCCCAGAAUCCCUCAUUGUCUCAGAGGGAGUCAAAGGCUCUUUCAACUGCACUUUCAGUGAUAGUGCUUCUCAGUAUUUCUGGUGGUACAGACAGUAUUCUGGGAAAAGCCCCAAGGCCCUGAUGUCCAUCGUCUCCAAUGGUGACAAGCAAGAAGGCAGAUUCACAACUCACCUCAAUAAAGCCAGCCUGCAUGUUUCCCUGCACAUCAAUGACUCCCAACCCAGUGACUCUGCUCUCUACCUCUGUGCAGUGAGCACACAGUGA